GGGGAAUAUUGGACAAUGGGGGCAACCCUGAUCCAGCAAUGCCGCGUGAGUGAUGAAGGCCUUCGGGUUGUAAAGCUCUUUCGCCCACGACGAUGAUGACGGUAGUGGGAGAAGAAGCCCCGGCUAACUUCGUGCCAGCAGCCGCGGUAAUACGAAGGGGGCUAGCGUUGUUCGGAAUGACUGGGCGUAAAGGGCGCGUAGGCGGCGCAUCAAGUCGGGCGUGAAAGCCCCGGGCUCAACCUGGGAACUGCGUUCGAGACUGAUGUGCUGGAGUUCGGGAGAGGAGAGUGGAAUUCCCAGUGUAGAGGUGAAAUUCGUAGAUAUUGGGAAGAACACCGAUGGCGAAGGCAGCUCUCUGGACCGAUACUGACGCUGAGGCGCGAAAGCGUGGGGAGCAAAC
rnacentral:rRNA from 1 species